rnacentral:tRNA from 1 species
GGGGAUUUAGCUCAGUGGUAGAGCGCUUGCCUGGCAAGUGCAAGGCCCUGGGUUCAGUACCCA